GAGCUUAGUCGCGGACCUCACCUGGGUCUUCUUCUCCAAGCUUUCUUCCUCAAAAUCUCUUUCAAUCAUUUUGAACCAUGAAAAGCACAGCCAUGUAAAACCACUCCCGUCAACUCACUGCUUUGUCGUCGCCUCGCCGGAUUUCCACCAUCAUCGGCUAACACUUUUCUGCAGUGAAAAUCAACUCCUUUACCCCAAAAUCGACCACCAUAAACACUCAAGAACAGCCACUAAACAACCUAAAAACGUCACCCAAAAAUGCUGUCAAAACCAGCCCCCUUUUUGUCCAUAACGACCCCAAAACAGCUGCCGAAUCAGCCUCAAAUAAGCUUGAAAUUGAGCUGAAAAACAACCCUCUUUCCUCACAAAACAACAAUAUUUUUGGUCGGGUUCGAGUCGAAUUUUUCGACGAGCAUUACCCGGCGAGUUUCGAGGUUCUGGCGGGGUCGCAUUCAGAUCCGGUUGUCAUUCAAUUUGUUCUGGCCAAAAUUCUGAUUCUGGGUUUGCCUUAUUAAUACAAAGGUUCAUCUCCCUUUUCGAUUUUGUUCUUCUUUCUAAUGUUCUGGAUCAUUUUUGUAUUGAUUUAAUUUGUGUGAUAUGGAUAGACUUUUAUUUUUUUAGUUUUCUGUGUUUGAACAAUACGCUUUUGAGUAUGUUUCCUCUUAGUUCAUUCCUUUAAUUUUCUUAGCAAAUCAUAUGGUUAAUCUCAUUAAUAACCCAAUUUUUUCUUAUCUAUUUUGAGUAGUUUCCUUAGUAAGCAAUUUGUCUUGUGAAGUGAUGGUAUGGGAGCUUUUAAGUUACAAGAGUUUUCUUCAAUGAACUAAUGAGCUCUCCAGUUCAUUUUGCCUUGGUUCCAAUUUAAUUUUUUAUCUUAGUGACUAAUUUAUAAAGCUGAAAAUUAAAAGUUAGAAGGAAUGUUAGCUUGGUUGAAGCUUAUCACUGUAAUUGGGCCUUGAUUGUUAUUGCCUCGUAAAAGAAAUGGGCCAAACAUAAUUCCUACUAAUAGGCCCAAAAUGUGGAAUGGAUUCAAGAUAGAAUGUUAGUAAUGUAUUUAGUCGUAGAUAUCUUUAAUAGUUUAGCAAUACAAUUGAUCUUGUUAAUAAUUCAUAAAAUCUUUAUAGUUAUUAUCGUGAUUAUGUACACGUUCGCGUGACAUAAUUAUGAUUUCUAAAAAUAAAUUAAGGUACUCGUUCGUGCAACUUUGGUCAAAAUAACCUUAAAUAUAAUAAAAUAUUAUUAAUUGCGUGAACAUACACGUGACAUGAUUUUGGCACAAUAAACAAAACGGAUUUCGCACACGUGAUUCGUUUCAAAGAUAAUUCCAUAUUUUAAUAUAAAAGCGGACAGAUAAAACAUGAGAACCAAUAAAUCAUAGUUUACUUAAAAUUAAUUCAACACAAGUUGUAGUCAAUAAAGUGACCGUGCUAGAACCACGGGACUCGGGAAAUGCUUUACACCUUCUCCCCGGUCAACAGAAUUCCUUACCCGACAUUUAUUUUCGCAGACCAAUAAUAAUAGAGUCAAACCUUCCUUUGACUAGGGAUUCAAAUAAAAGGUGACUUGGAACACCUAAAAAAUCAAUUCCAAGUGGCGACUCUGUAAAUAAAAUAAUCCAUAUUCAAAUUUGUCACUUUAAUUAGAAAAACUCUUUAACCCACAAUAAUUCAUAAAUCGAUAUAUUUUGUGGGGUAAAAAAGGGGUGUGACAGCUCUGGCGACUCUGCUGGGGAACUCAAGAAUUUGGGCCUGUACAUUAACUUUAUUUGGCUUUAUUAAUUUUUGUAUAUAUUGUGAUUUAUUUGGGACUAAUGUGCUACUUGUCCACUUUUUACUGUCUUGAUAUUGUUGAACUGUACAUAUAAAUUGUAUCCUCUCUCGCAUCCCACUGAGUCUUAUGAUAAUUAGUUAUGUUGUGUUUGCCUACCAGCAUCACAAAAUUUCUGUCUUGAGAUAAAGCCAGUUAGCCUACCAGCUUCUGGUGAAGGAUUUAGUCACAAAUGUUUAGGCGGGAGAGUCGUUAGCUAGCCAGUGUUGUUCUACUACUGGUAAUGCUUGACGCUCCUCGGUUCGGGUUGUCCGCCCGGGUAAUCCAGGUCUAGAUACCAUCUCCUUUAGGAUCUACAAACUUAGAAGAACAAGCCACAAGCAAUGAAUAUCCCUAGCAGGCUACGCUUUAUUUGCAUCAUGUGCAUUUGACUUAGCAGCGCUCGACACAGGGGACGAGUUAUGUUUUAGGAUAGGCCUUGUUGAGACCAUUAUGCCAUGUUAUGUGCUACUUGUUGCAUUAUUUGGGAGGCUUGCAUGUCGACCGACUUUAGCAUAAAUCAGUUGAACGAACAGAGAAAAAAUGAUGUGGUCUAGUGCAUAUAGUUUUUAAAGAUUAAUUUUCAUUUUAAAAAAAAGAAAAAAAAAAGAAAAGAACAUAGUCGAUUUUAACCGAACUACACAGGUCUGAUUCUCACCGGAUGUGAGAUACGUAGGCAAACCUCAUCGGUUCCGGCCCCAAUUUAAAAAAAAAACAAUCAAAAAUAUUUUCCUUUUCCUUACCCUAUUUACAAUUCUUUCCUUAGAAAAUCAAAAAACAAAAUACUAAAUCCAAAAAUAUUUUUUAUAGUCCCACAGUUUAGCUUUUAUUUAUUUAUUUAUUUAUUUAUUUUUAUUCUUUUAUAGAGUCAAAACCCGAGAAAUCGGAAUUUUUGUGUGUCAAUAAUAUAUUUGAUCAAAGCCUAACACUGUGUCUGGGUAGACAGGUAUACCAUGAGUGGGGAAAGAGGUAAGUCUGAAAAGAGGCCCAGAUCAGAAGGGAUACCAGAUUUUCUGAUUGUCGAUCAGAUAUCA
rnacentral:lncRNA from 1 species